rnacentral:rRNA from 1 species
GUGGGGAAUAUUGGGCAAUGGGCGAAAGCCUGACCCAGCAACGCCGCGUGAAGGAAGAAGGUUUUCGGAUCGUAAACUUCUAUCCUUGGUGAAGAUAAUGACGGUAGCCAAGAAGGAAGCCCCGGCUAACUACGUGCCAGCAGCCGCGGUAAUACGUAGGGGGCAAGCGUUGUCCGGAAUGAUUGGGCGUAAAGGGCGCGUAGGCGGCCCGGUAAGUCUGAAGUGAAAGUCCUGCUUUUGAGGUGGGAAUUGCUUUGGAUACUGUCGGGCUUGAGUGCAGGAGAGGUAAGCGGAAUUCCCGGUGUAGCGGUGAAAUGCGUAGAGAUCGGGAGGAACACCAGUGGCGAAGGCGGCUUACUGGACUGUAACUGACGCUGAGGCGCGAAAGUGUGGGGAGCAAACAGGAUUAGAUACCCUGGUAGUCC